rnacentral:rRNA from 1 species
GAUGAACGCUGGCGGCGUGCCUAAUACAUGCAAGUAGAACGCUGAAGGAGGAGCUUGCUCUUCUGGAUGAGUUGCGAACGGGUGGGUAACGCGUAGGUAACCUGCCUGGUAGCGGGGGAUAACUAUUGGAAACGAUAGCUAAUACCGCAUGACAACAGUUAUUGCAUGAUAACUGUUUAAAAGGGGCAACUGCUCCACUACCAGAUGGACCUGCGUUGUAUUAGCUAGUUGGUGAGGUAACGGCUCACCAAGGCGACGAUACAUAGCCGACCUGAGAGGGUGAUCGGCCACACUGGGACUGAGACACGGCCCAGACUCCUACGGGAGGCAGCAGUAGGGAAUCUUCGGCAAUGGACGGAAGUCUGACCGAGCAACGCCGCGUGAGUGAAGAAGGUUUUCGGAUCGUAAAGCUCUGUUGUAAGAGAAGAACGAGUGUGAGAGUGGAAAGUUCACACUGUGACGGUAUCUUACCAGAAAGGGGCGGCUAACUACGUG